GGCCCCGUAGCUCAGCAGGAUAGAGCGCCGGAUUCCUAAUCCGUAGGUCACUGGUUCGAAUCCAGUCGGGGUCACCA
rnacentral:tRNA from 1 species